GGAGAAGAGAGAAUUUUCUGACUGAAGUGAGCAGUGGUCUUGUCUGCUGGGUCCAGGCUCAGGCAUGUUUAGGAAACCCUAAAUUUAAGGAAUAAGUUUAGUACUUCUAGUUAGCAUUCUGGUGAUACAGGAGGCAACAUUGUUCAUCCCACUUGUUGUAGUCUGUGCUCUAUAUAGAAUUUGAAAAUAAGUUCAAUACAGACCGCUUACAGAAUGCUUGUCAGCCCAGAAUUAUGUUCUGACUAAAUUGACCAAAAAUCCUUGGGGUGGGGGUGGGGUGAGGUGGACCUCUGUCCCUUCCCUCCUUACCCCUGGUCCAUUUAAUUAAGCAAGUAGGACACACCUACACCACAGACUAAAUCCAUCUUGAAUACCUUAAGACCUAGAACCUCCACAGGAAGGGAAAGCAUGUGCCCCGUGGGCUUGCUGCCCUGCAGGCUUGCUGACGUUUAUUCCGGUCUGGGCAAAUGUUGAAUUGUGAUUGCUGUGCUCAUUUGAAAACAUCAGGGCUCCCCGAAGCUGCUUUCUUCCCAACUACCUUGAUUGUUCGUGCAGGCAGAGACGAAAACUGAAAACCCAGCAGGCUGAGGACAUCCAUUUGGUAGUUGAUUCGAUAAAUGUUCACAGUGUUGUCGUCUGUUAAACUGACCUAGUAGUCACUAAGUUUGGCUGUGUUCCUGCAUUUACUGGAACACAAAUGGGCUAAAAAGAAACAGCUAACAAAAAAGUAUUAAAUACGGUCCUGACCCAUACAUCCUAAGGGUCGUAGGGCAGCAUGCCAUAGAUGCACAUGCAUGUUGCAUUUACUGCUGCAUGUUCACAAUAGCUAAGAUAGAGGGCCUGCCUAGAAGUUUAUCAGCAGGUGAUCUGUUCAUCAGCAGGUGAAUGGGCAACAAAUAAAUCCAUAAAUAAAAACGCAACAGUACACAUAAUAGAAUUUUAUUUAGUUGUAAAGAAAUGAAAUUAUGACCUAGGUAGGAAAAGAGAUGGAACUAUGUUAAGCGAAACAAGCCACACUCAGAAAGACAAACUACCAUGUUUUUUCUCUUAUGCUGAAGCUAGAUUUAAACACACACACAGAGCACAUCAUUUUGUCAUAACUUGGCCAGAGUUCCAUUUGCCCUUUGCCUCCCUAACCCAGCUUCUUUAGUUAAGCACACACACAUCCUGAGCACAUGUACAUGUGCAUGCAUGUGUGUGCACAGGAAAGCAGGAAUGGGACUAUAAGCAGGGAAUAGGAGAUCUAGAAGGAGAGAGAGAGGGGAACAGGACAGGGAAUAAAUGUGUAUCCAAACAGAAGGAGGGGUUGUUUGAGAGAAGAAGGGGGCAUUGAGGAAAGAAGGGUGAGAAGGAGUGGGGGAGAAGCGAGUAACAGAAUAAUUAUGUGUAUAUGAGAACGCUACAGCGGAAAGUAGUUUUUCCGUGUUACCGAAAAACUAAAAAUAGAGUAAUAUAGAACACACUCUAGGUAUGAAGUGCCCAAAGUACUAAAGCUAUAGACAAGAAGAACAUAACAAACACCAUGUCUUAAAGAUCAGUGGUGCUCUGGUUUUGACAGUACAGAUGUGGUCAUUCAACGGUUAAGAAAAUGCCUGACUUGGGCACCAGUAGGGGUUACCACUAAUGGCUUUCUAAUAUUUCCCAAUGGCUCACUCAAUUAAGAACUCAAAAUUCCAGAUUAGAAAGUUAAAAAACAAAACAAAAGAAACAAACAAACAAAUCCCCCUAAACAAAAACCCAAAAGGCUGUAAAGGUGAGAGCUCUGAACUGUCUCUUAAGGGACACCAUCUGUUUAUGAUAUUCUGUUUAGUCUACAUGUGCGAGCAAAUCGGAAGGAUGAAAACAUCUCUCCCUUCAACAGCACUCUUGGCUAUUCAAUGUAUUUAACAAAUUUAAGGAACCAGGACUUGAUAACCCAAGGGGAUUGUUCUGGGGGAGGCAGGAGGCGAGUGGUCACAGGGAAUACUCAGUGCCCUGCCAGUUCUGUGCGGUCAGGUGUACAAGGAAGGUUUCAACUGCAAAUGACAGUGGAUGUAGCUAAAAGUGGCUUCAGUAAUGAGGAUGCUUAAUACACACAAAACAAGAAGUCCAUCUGGAGACCACUUCACACUGCGAGCUACAUACCCACAGUCUGGGGCUGCCUCUGUCCUAAACCUGCCUACCCAUCCUCUCCCCAACCCAGUUCUCUUUCACAAGCCUCCCUAGUGCUGAUCUACAUUACAUCCCUACCUCCAGCCAUCUAUUUUCAAACAAAAGAAAAGAUGGGAUGUCCAGAUAGCUCCAGAAUUCAAGUCUUCACAGACAGAGAAGAGAGAGUAUAUCUCUCAUCAGGGAGGGAAAGUUUUCUCCAAAGUCCUUUCCAGACCCCUCUCCAGGUCUCCCGUCUCAGGCAGGAGCUGGCUCAUCAGCCUUGCCUGCCACUGGCAAGAACCGGAUAGAGUUAUCAGGAGCUGGGUGUGCUCACUCACAGACUGAGGUCGUGGGUGCAAAGAAAGGGGUAGUAUGUAAGUGAGAUGGUUCUGGGCAAACCGUUGGUAACAUUUAGAGACAUGAAAAGUGAGACACUGGUCCCAAAGCUGGAGCUGCUCAUUACUAUUCAAAGACAUAGAAUAGGGCAAGACCUUUCAUUUAUUGUAUUGUUUAAGGUAGCUAAAGACCUCAGUCCUAGCACAUAGCCUGUGAAGUGUAGUGAGAAUGUUGGUUCAAGAAAAAGAACCCAGUUAUAUUAUAUGAACAGGUUUUAGUUUUAAUCCCAGCCGAGGGAUAUGGGACUGGUUUAGGUCCACAGCAGCUAAACUAUGAUUUGUCUCAUGCUCUGGCAGGGGCAUGAUUCUGUCAGGUGAAGAUAGUUCUGUUUGGAACUUUGGGGACUUUUGAGAAGGUUUAUAGAAGACCAGAGCUCCGAGAGAGGCGGCGGCUGCUGCCUGCCUUGCUGCUGCCCCUGCUGCUGCUGCCCCUGCUGCUGCUGGUGUUUCUGCUACUUUGCUGCUUUUGCUGUUUGCUGUUGUCGGUUGGAUGCCAAGAUUGGGCUUGCUCCUAGGAACUUGAUGCCCCUGAUGAGCAGGAAGUAGUCUAAAGAGAUCUAUGCCCCUCCGUCCCUCUAACCUUCUUUCUCGACAAUCUAGUGCUGGGUUGGAAGGGACAGUAGUGGUGAAAGGUAGUAGAUAUAAGAACCCAAUAAAGUAGCCAAAAUGUACAGUCACAGAGAAGGCUAAGUUUAUGUUUUAAGUUUAAAUUACUGUGCUUGAGAGAUCUGUAAAACAAAAUGCCUUUGAUCUGUAAGCUCCGCUUGCCCAGGACAGGUGACUUCCUGGAACACUGAGGGCUGUUCACGUAAGAUAACAAGCCACGUGUUCACUUCUGUAAACGAGUUUGGUUGCCUCAACUGCUCAUAUGUAGGCAGGAAGUACAUCAAGAUGUAUGUUUGCAGCAGAUUGGGUGAAGGGGGCAAGUAAGUAGUGUCGUGGGUUUUGCCUUUAUAAGCACAGGACUAAUGUAAUCCAGCCAUUCUCUGGAAAUCCCAGGUAUGGACCCACAGGGCCCAUUGCCCUGGACAGUAUUUCAUAAAACUUGCUUCAAAUUUGGCUCAAAAAUUAUGGUGAUGGUCUUAUUCUCACCCAUUGGGAUUAACAGUAGCAUAUGGUUUUAGGGGAGUUAAGAAAAAAAGUUAGACUCUUUCCUUGGAAAUCCACUGUGCAAGCUCCAUUCCUUAGAAAUAGGAUUCUUCAUUCAACCUAUUUUUAAGUGAGAGAGAGAGAGAGAGAGAAAGAGAGAGAGAGAGAGAGAGAGAGAGAGAGAGAGAGAGAGAGAGAAUAAGGUUCCACAGUCCCUGAACUAUACUCUCCAAUUAUGAUACAAUAAGCCAAAUGGUUGAAAUCAUUAACCACAACUUUUGACCAAAGUAAAUAAGCUUGCUCUUACCCUGUGUAGGAGAAGGGAGGCUUUGUUUGAAGCCAUGAAAACACUGAAUUCUUUUUUUUUUUUUUCCUUUUUAUCGGAGCUGGGGAUCGAACCCAGGGCCUUGCGCUUGCUAGGCAAGUGCUCUACCACUGAGCUAAAUCCCCAACCCCAAAACACUGAAUUCUAAAGCAAGGGUCCUUAGAGCUGGAAGGGAGAUAUUACUAAAUAGGGUUUAGUUAAUCCACUUGGGCAAGAGACUCCAUAGUCCAAGAGUUCUCAUCUGCACUUUCUUGGGAUUUCGAAGGCCCACACGCACAAUCUCUAUCCUUGAUGGCGCUGGCUAAACUGCUUACAUUGUAUUAAGCGACAGUAAGUAUAUUUGAAUAGCGACUGUGCUGAUUUGAAUAUGCCUGGCCCAGGCAGUGGCACUAUUAGGAAGUGUGUCUUUGUUAGAGUAGAUGUGUCCGUGUUGGAGGAAGUGUGUUACCAUGGGGAUGGGCUUUGAGACUCUCCUCCUGGCUGUUCACGAGCCAGACUUCUCCUGUUUGCCUUCAGAACAAGAUGUACAACUCUAGCCCCAGGCCUGCCUGGAUGCUGCCAUGCUCCUGCCUUGAUGAUACUGGACAAAACCUCUGAACCUUAAAGCACCUACAUAUUUGCACUGACAGCUACAUCCUUUCUCUCAAGUCUUGGCUUACACACAUAAAGUGGUUCACUCCCAUAGUGUGCAGCCAUCACAUGAGAAGCUGGAGAACUGCGUUUGAGCAUCUUCAAGCUUUUUGUACACCAGUGCAGAAGCAAGGUAGAGAAAAAAAACCCAAAUCAAAAACCCUCCAUACAGCUAUUUAAACCUGACCUGAGAGCACACGACACGGACAGCUCUAAUCAGCGAACAACGUAGGUCCUAACAGUCUAACGGAGUGCAGAUUAAAGAAAGCUAUUGUCUGCCGUUCGCAUCCUCAGUAUGUUUUCUUAAGCCCCACCUGCAGUUGCUACCACUCUCUAUGCUCUCAGAACCACAUUGUGUAAGAAGAAAAUCAUUUCCUGCAAGCUGUCUUCUGACCCGCAAACAUACUGCCUGUUCCACAGAUCACAAAUAAGUAGGGCUCCAGACUACCUUGGGGGAAUCAGAGAGGAGGUCAGAGCCAAAGUCUUUUCGAUAAAGCACUGGGACGACACAGCAGCCUAUUUGGACAGACUGACUGCCGUCCUUCCCAAGCAGAGGAUCCUCCCGCACGGGAAGAUGGCCCUUCUUCCUUCCUCCCUCCCUUCCCUCUCUCCCUCUUGACCAUUUUCCCUCUUCCACUGUACACUCAAUAAAAUAAAGUAAAUAAAUGAAA